UACGUAGGGGGCGAGCGUUGUCCGGAAUUACUGGGCGUAAAGCGCGCGCAGGCGGUCCUUCAAGUCAGAGGUGAAAGCCCAGAGCUCAACUCCGGAACGGCCUUUGAGACUAGAGGACUUGGGUACGGGAGAGGUGAGUGGAAUUCCGAGUGUAGAGGUGAAAUUCGUAGAUAUUCGGAAGAACACCAGUGGCGAAGGCGGCUCACUGGCCCGUUACCGACGCUCAGGCGCGACAGCGUGGGGAGCAAACAGG
rnacentral:rRNA from 1 species